rnacentral:sRNA from 1 species
GAGGUAGUGUUCCCUUAAUUUCCCGAGUGAGGAAAACUUCUCGGUUGGAGACUUGAAAAAUCCAAGUCACUGAGUAGUCACGAACUUUUGAGUACCAAGGCGUAGUAGCAUAUGGUGGGAGUCCCCCAAGUCUCUAGUCGAGGGAGUUGACGAAUGAGGUUGCUAGGCCCGAAUAAGUGGAAUUGCAGAAGGUGUAACCGUUGGUGCAUUAACAUCAUAAUGGAAGCAUCACAAUGAUGGAAGCAUCACAAUGAUGAAAGCAUCAUAAUGAUGAAAACACCAUAAUGAUGAAACAUCAUAAUGAUGUUUCUUUGGUGGAAUUGUUUUUCAUUUCCCCUAACAACCGGAAUUGUUUUUUCAACAUAACACCAUCAUCUGUAGGUCGAAUCACAAAGUUGUCUUCAUGAAAGUUGUUCGUUAAUUCCUUAACUACAACAUAUCCAAAUUGGAGAGCCAUCGGAGCAGUACAACUCCAGAAAUCCAGAUCAGCAUGCUUUCUUCAUUGAAGUUGUUCCUCAGCUUGUGAACUACAACAUAUCCAAAUUUGAGAUCCCUCGGAGCUGUAUAACUCAAGAA